UAGGGAAUCUUCCGCAAUGGACGCAAGUCUGACGGAGCAAUGCCGCGUGAGUGACGAAGGUUUUCGGAUCGUAAAACUCUGUUGUAAGGGAAGAACAAGCCCCAUUUAACUGAUGGGGCCCUGACGGUACCUUACCAGAAAGCCACGGCUAACUACGUGCCAGCAGCCGCGGUAAUACGUAGGUGGCAAGCGUUGUCCGGAAUUAUUGGGCGUAAAGCGCGCGCAGGCGGUCCCUUAAGUCUGAUGUGAAAGCCCACGGCUCAACCGUGGAGGGUCAUUGGAAACUGGGGGACUUGAGUGCAGAAGAGGAAAGUGGAAUUCCAUGUGUAGCGGUGAAAUGCGUAGAGAUGUGGAGGAACACCAGUGGCGAAGGCGACUUUCUGGUCUGUAACUGACGCUG
rnacentral:rRNA from 1 species